rnacentral:misc_RNA from 1 species
GGAAGUAAAAGUCGUAAUAAGGUUUCCGUAGGUGAACCUGCGGAAGGAUCAUUCAUAAUAAAGUGUUUUAUGGCACUUUUUAAAAAUCCAUAUCCACCUUGUGUGCAAUGUUAGAUCUCGUCAAUCUUGGCGAGAUUUUUAUACAUCAACUCAUUCUUUAACUAAUUUGUCUGAAAAAUAUUAUGAAUACUUAAUUCAAAAUACAACUUUCAACAACGGAUCUCUUGGCUCUC